UACGGGGGGGGCAAGCGUUGUUCGGAAUUACUGGGCGUAAAGGGUUUGUAGGUGGCUUGCUAAGUCAGACGUGAAAUCCCUCAGCUUAACUGGGGAACUGCGUCUGAUACUGGAUGGCUUGAGAUUGGGAGAGGGAUGCGGAAUUCCAGGUGUAGCGGUGAAAUGCGUAGAUAUCUGGAGGAACGCCGGUGGCGAAGGCGGCAUCCUGGACCAACACUGACGCUGAUGAGCGAAAGCCAAGGGAGCAAACGGG
rnacentral:rRNA from 1 species